UGUUCAUCCAGAGCAGCAGAGGGACUGGCCCUAUGAAGCUGCGGCAACCCCCACUCGGGAAGGUGCCAAUUCCAUCGGAGAUUCCGACAGAUGACAU
rfam:Megasphaera sp. BV3C16-1 contig00002, whole genome shotgun sequence.